GGAAUUCGCCCUUAGAGUUAGAUCCUGGCUCAAGAUGAACGCUGGCGGCGAGCUUAACACAUGCAAGUCGAACGAGGAAAUAUUUCAUUGAGACUUCAGAGGAUUUGAUCUAUUUCUAGUGGCGGACGGGUGAGUAACGCGUGGGUAACCUGCCUUAUACAAGGGGAUAACAGUCAGAAAAGGCUGCUAAUACCGCAUAAGCGCACAGAGCUGCAUGGCUCAGUGUGAAAAACUCCGGCGGUAUAAAGAUGGACCCGCGUUGGAUUAGCUGGUUGGUGGGGUAACGGCCCACCAAGGCGACGAUCCAUAGCCGGCCUGAGAGGGUGAACGGCCACAUUGGGACUGAGACACGGCCCAGACUCCUACGGGAGGCAGCAGUGGGGAAUAUUGCACAAUGGGGGAAACCCUGAUGCAGCGACGCCGCGUGAAGGAAGAAGUAUCUCGGUAUGUAAACUUCUAUCAGCAGGGAAGAUAGUGACGGUACCUGACUAAGAAGCCCCGGCUAACUACGUGCCAGCAGCCGCGGUAAUACGUAGGGGGCAAGCGUUAUCCGGAUUUACUGGGUGUAAAGGGAGCGUAGACGGUGUGGCAAGUCUGAUGUGAAAGGCAUGGGCUCAACCUGUGGACUGCAUUGGAAACUGUCAUACUUGAGUGCCGGAGGGGUAAGCGGAAUUCCUAGUGUAGCGGUGAAAUGCGUAGAUAUUAGGAGGAACACCAGUGGCGAAGGCGGCUUACUGGACGGUAACUGACGUUGAGGCUCGAAAGCGUGGGGAGCAAACAGGAUUAGAUACCUUGGUAGUCCACGCCGUAAACGAUGAAUAAAUAGGUGUUGGGGGGCAGAGCCAUUCGGUGCCGUCGCAAACGCAGUAAGUAUUCCACCUGGGGAGUACGUUCGCAAGAAUGAAACUCAAAGAAAAAGACGGGGACCCGCACAAGCGGUGGAGCAUGUGGUUUAAUUUGAAGCAACGCGAAGAGCCUUACCAAGUCUUGACAUCCCUCUGACCGGAACUUAAUCGUUCCUUUCCUUCUGGACAGAGGAGACAGGUGGUGCAUGGUUGUCGUCAGCUCGUGUCGUGAGAUGUUGGGUUAAGUCCCGCAACGAGCGCAACCCCUAUCCUCAGUAGCCAGCAUUUAAGGUGGGCACUCUGGGGAGACUGCCAGGGAUAACCUGGAGGAAGGCGGGGAGGACGUCAAAUCAUCAUGCCCCCUAUGAUUUGGGCUACACACGUGCUACAAUGGCGUAAACAAAGGGAAGCGAGAUCGUGAGAUGGAGCAAAUCCCAAAAAUAGCGUCCCCGUUCG
rnacentral:rRNA from 1 species